AGUGAACGCUGGCGGUAGGCCUAACACAUGCAAGUCGAACGGCAGCACAGUAAGAGCUUGCUCUUACGGGUGGCGAGUGGCGGACGGGUGAGGAAUACAUCGGAAUCUACUUUUUCGUGGGGGAUAACGUAGGGAAACUUACGCUAAUACCGCAUACGACCUACGGGUGAAAGCAGGGGAUCUUCGGACCUUGCGCGAUUGAAUGAGCCGAUGUCGGAUUAGCUAGUUGGCGGGGUAAAGGCCCACCAAGGCGACGAUCCGUAGCUGGUCUGAGAGGAUGAUCAGCCACACUGGAACUGAGAAACGGUCCAGACUACUACGGGAGGCAGGAGUGGGGAAUAAUGGACAAUGGGGGCAAACCUGAUCCAGCCAUACCGCGUGGGUGGAGAAGGCCUUCGGGUUGGAAAGCCCUUUUGUUGGGAAAGAAAAGCAGCAGGUUAAUACCCCGCUGUUCUGACGGUACCCAAAGAAUAAGCACCGGCUAACUUCGUG
rnacentral:rRNA from 1 species